rfam:Eimeria praecox, Houghton, WGS project CBTT01000000 data, contig: Eph_contig162_2
GGAUGGUUUGGGCAAGUACAAGAAGCGCAUGGCACCCGGCCACUGUCACUUGGGUUUGUAGCAUUGGCACAAUUGUCUCCCAUCGUGAAGUACCACUACCACCAUUGCCCUUUUUCUUACUCCGUCAAGCUGAGAUGCAUGAAACACAUGCGUUCUUGUCGUAAAGUGCCCCUCGGGGUGUUGAUCACUGCGGAAGACACAGUCAGCUGGGGUGGAAGGCUGGAGCGGAGCAUCAGUGAAACAAAAGCGCGGGUGUCCUAAAGCUCGCUAAAUGACAACAUAAGUCUCAUGCUGAAGAAAAGGGGAAAACUUGCUUGAGUCUGAUUUUCAGUACAACUACAAACUGUGAAAGCACGGCCUAUCGAUUCUUUAGGCGUGAGAAGCUUCCAGGUAAAAACUAUGGGAAAAGCUACCACAGGAAUAACUGGUUUGUCGAAUUAAAGUGUUUACAGCGACUUUUCGACGUUGUGCUUUGAUCCUUCGAUGUCAGCUCUUCCUAUCAAUGGGAUGAAGGCGUCUCGAAGCGUCGGAUUUUUCACCCACCAAUAGGGUACGCGAGAUGGGUUUAGACCUUCGUAAGAGAGGUUAGUUUUACCCUACUGAUAAAUUUGAUACUACGAAAGUAGUUUAGCUUAGUGCAAGAUGAACAGUUGGUUUACAUACUCGGUAAAUGCCGACAGCUGAAAAGCUAGUGCCGCCCCUCUACGAUCUGUUGGAUGAUGACUGAAAGCCUCCAAGUCAGAACCCAUGCUGGCUAAGCAGUUUCUAAUCGCUCCACUGGUUCGCUUUACAGGAUGCAUGCAUGUAAUUAUACAGCCUUAGGCACAACAUAUCACAAAAACGCUCUGCGAAACGCGUUGUGGGGCAGUGGCAAUUUCACGUAUUUGGGGCGCUAGACAGUAGCAAACAACUGACCAGACAUAAGUAUCAAGGAAUGGCACUGGUGGUUAGGGAGUUUCU